UUCGUUAUAAAAUCAAUAAACACUCUCAAUGAAUUUAAGCACUUAAAAACUCAAUGUUUAAAAUAUCGGAUUGGUGAAUUUCAGUGUUAUUCCAGCCCUAUCACACACAUCUAAUGCAAGCAAUACACUCCAUUCUGUUAUUUUAAUAACAUUUUCAGUUACAAAUUAUCCUUGGCAAGGAAGUGCUUCUCCUCUUCCAUUUACUAUAUACAAUUAAUUUUAAUCAAAUGUAAAUUAAACUAUGAGAUUGAGGUCAACCUGUUUAAAAUUAUUACUUUUAAAAUGCACACAGCGCUCACACGAUGCUAAACGGAGAUUAAUAAAACCACUUAGACACAUCUCUGUUAACACUACCCACUCAAUGGAAUAAAGACAUAAUUAUUGCAGCAAAACCUAGAACUUAACUACAACACGUGUAGUUCCAAAAUGAACUAGUUCAAUAAAACGCAUUGAAGAUUCAUAUCAGCUGCUGUAUGAACACACUGCUAUUUGUUUUAAUGAAAACAAUUGCUCAAAAAUGUUGGAAAUACUUUAAAAUGACUUGACUUACAAGUCGCACUAACGAUUUAAAAUCGCUUUUUAUUAGGCGAAUGUAUUUAUUUAUAUUUAUUAGAAUAUUAUUAAAUUGCAUUUUCACAAGCUAUAUUUUUUGCAUCAUUGAGUAGAAUCUUCUGCCGCAACAUUCCAUAAGCGGGUGAAUGUGUAAGAGAGGAACAGCUAAUAGAGCCCCAUCAAAUUUUGGCGGCUUAAAAUUAUUUUAAAUUGUUUUCAAAUUCUUAAAAAAGUAAAAAACCAAGAUGAGAAAAGGGAAAGGAAAUCGACGGAGGCAUGCCAAAAUAUUUAAAUAAAAUCGCCAAAACAAUCACUUUGACCACUUUGUAUAGAAAUAUGACCGUUGCAGUUGCGAGUUGCUUAUUAUGAUGUAAAAUAGGAAUAAGUAGAAUCAAUUAAAUAAAAUAUGAAAUUGAUAUAAACAUAUAAUCUUUGAAUGCUUUCAGUGUCGUUGUAAUAUAAUAAUAUGUUUUUUCCUGCGUGGGUUUA